rnacentral:snRNA from 1 species
AUGCUCGCUUCGGCAGCUCAUAGACUAAAACUGGAACGACACAGAGAAGAUUAGCAUGGCCCCUGUGCAAGGAGGACACGCGAAUUCGUGAAGCAUUCCAUGUUUAA